GCCUCCUCCAGCAUCAGGAUGUGAGCCACCAGCAAGGAGGGACACCAAUAAGGCGUCCGAUAAGAUAAGUCUUAUAAAAUAUAUAGAUGUAUGAUAAUUGAGACUGAGCUAACAGAUGAGAAUCCUAGUCAUUGGCCAAGCACCAUUGUACCUAAUACAAGUUUCUGUGUAUUCAUUUGGGCCCUAACUCAGGCGGGCGGCUGGCAAAAAGCUUACACGUGGCGGUGGGGCUCAGCGGCUUUUGGCAGAAAGAUUUAUCGUAACAUCAUUCUCCUCAGGGCACACCCACUUUGGGAUCCCUUUAUCCAAUAAACCAGAAAGCUCACUUCAAAACAAGAAGCAUAAAGGCACUGUGUGUGUGUGUGUGUGUGUGUGUGUGUGUGUGUGUGUGUGUGUCUGUCUGUCUGUCUGUCUGUCUGUCUGUCUGUCUGUCUGUCUGUCUGUUGGGGGGUGGUGAUGGCUCAGUGGGUAAAGUGUUUGCUGCAUAAACAUGAAAACCUGAGUUUGGAUUCCCCAACACCCCUAUGAAAAGCCAGGACUGGGAGUGCACACCUGAAUUAGAGACCUGGGAGGCAGAGCCAGGACGAUUCCUUGGGGUUUCUGGCCAGCCAGUCUGGCUGAAUCAGUGAAUGCCAGGUCCCAAGAGAGACCCUGUCUCAAAAUACAAGGUGGAGAGCAAUAAAGAAAAACACUGUAAUUCAACCUCAGGCCUCCAUGAACACACAGACCUUGAACUCCUGGGUUCAACUCCUUUUCUUUCCUCAGCCUCCCAAGUAGGUCGGACUACAGGUGUGCACCAUCUGGCCUGGCAACUAUCAGGGAUUUCCAUGAAAAGAUAAACAAUGACUGGUAUUUUCAAAAGCAACUAAAUGCUUUCAAGAUGACUUUGCUUUCUUUUCCUUUUCAACGGCAGGCACCUUUAGCAACCCAGAAUUUCUGUUGUGGCAGCUGAUUUGUCUAGAGAUAAUGCCUGACCUAUUUACUUUCUGCAUUGUGCUCUUGUUUGUUUGCUUUUUAGCUGUGUCUGGUAUAGGAGGAUGAUGGGCAGUGAAUCAAGAGCCCCGUGCAAGCUAGGUGCACCCUUUAUGCACUGAGCUACAUCUCCAGCCUGAGAGGAUUUUGUUUUCUUACUUAAAGGUUAACACCCUACUCCUGAAGGCAUACAAACAUCAAGCUGGAAACACAGGGUGCAUCGUGGAAUAUCAUGGAAAAGGGAGUAGAAACAAUGUAGGAGCUGGAGGACAGGGAAGGAGCAGGGUGCUGUGAUAUAAUGUCUUCUGAAUGGCAAGGCCACACAGUGGCUAUAACCACCUGGACAAGAUUUGCACAAAGAAGACAUGAAAGUAGGAGAGCAAUUAGCUGGGAAGGAGAUCAGCAGGAGUGGGAAGGAGACAAGAAAGAGACUUUGCAUUGCCUCUGAGAUGUUGCUCUUAAAAUGAAUGGAGGGGAAAGUUCACCAAUGCCAUGGAAGGCUCCAGAACCCAAAAGAUCAACUUUGCCUUCAUCUGAUCAAGACUACUGCCCCCAGCCUCUAGGUGAGAAAGGACCAUUGGUGCCAAAAGACCUUCAAGCUAACCACCCGAAAAUAAGCGCAGGCUGCAGAAGACGUUUGCUGCACACUGAUUUCUUUCAGAUCACCCAUCUGGCCUGCUUUCUUACCCAGGGUAUCAGGUGUACGUGCAGCUGAACUAUUGAACCUGCCUGGCUCUGGGUGUUGGAACUCCCAGUGACAACAGCCUUCAGACAGAUCCCAGAAGCACAGAGGUUCCCAAGAUGCUCACCGAUUCCAUUUUGACAUGCUCCAGUGCUUCCAGCCAUAACCUCCUCGGCAGGUCUCACAAACUCGUGAUGUUCUGAAUGAAACAGCACUUCAGAAAGUCCGAAAUAAGUCUCUCCUUUGUCCACAUGUAUGCAAAGCCCAUUAUGUAAUACUAAUUCUACAUUAAAAC
rnacentral:lncRNA from 1 species